UACGGAGGGUGCGAGCGUUGUCCGGAAUCACUGGGCGUAAAGGGCGCGUAGGCGGCUGGGGAAGUCGGCGGUGAAAGCCCGGAGCUACAACGUCCGGGUCGGCCGUCGAGACUCCUCGGCUCGAGCUCACUAGAGGCAGAUGGAAUUCCGGGUGUAGCGGUGGAAUGCGUAGAGAUCCGGAAGAACACCGGUGGCGAAGGCGGUCUGCUGGGGUGAGGCUGACGCUGAGGCGCGACAGCGUGGGGAGCAAACAGG
rnacentral:rRNA from 1 species